UACGUAGGGGGCGAGCGUUGUCCGGAUUCACUGGGCGUAAAGGGUGCGUAGGCGGUCGGGUAAGUCUGACGUGAAAUCUCCGGGCCUAACCCGGAAACUGCGUUGGAAACUGCCUGGCUAGAGGAAUGGAGGGGAGACUGGAAUACUUGGUGUAGCAGUGAAAUGCGUAGAUAUCAAGUGGAACACCAGUGGCGAAGGCGAGUCUCUGGACAUUUCCUGACGCUGAGGCACGAAAGCUAGGGGAGCAAACAGG
rnacentral:rRNA from 1 species